rnacentral:tRNA from 1 species
GGUUCUGUAUUCAAUAAUGAUUUUAAAUUGCAAAUUUAAAGGUGAGUAUAAUUCCGGAACCU